rnacentral:rRNA from 1 species
UGGGGAAUAUUGCACAAUGGGGGAAACCCUGAUGCAGCGCCGCCGCGUGAGCGAAGAAGGCUUUCGAGUCGUAAAGCUCUGUCCUAUGAGAAGAUAAUGACGGUAUCAUAGGAGGAAGCCCUGGCUAAAUACGUGCCAGCAGCCGCGGUAAUACGUAUGGGGCGAGCGUUGUCCGGAAUUAUUGGGCGUAAAGGGUACGUAGGCGGUUUUUUAAGUCAGGUGUCAAAGCGUGGAGCUUAACUCCAUUAAGCACUUGAAACUGAAAGACUUGAGUGAAGGAGAGGAAAGUGGAAUUCCUAGUGUAGCGGUGAAAUGCGUAGAUAUUAGGAGGAAUACCGGUGGCGAAGGCGACUUUCUGGACUUUUACUGACGCUCAGGUACGAAAGCGUGGGGAGCAAACAGG